CAGCAGCCGCGGGAAUACGGAGGGUGCAAGCGUUAAUCGGAAUUACUGGGCGUAAAGCGCACGCAGGCGGUCUGACAAGUCAGAUGUGAAAUCCCCGGGCUUAACCUGGGAACUGCAUUUGAAACUGUCAGGCUGGAGUCUUGUAGAGGGGGGUGGAAUUCCAGGUGUAGCGGUGAAAUGCGUAGAGAUCUGGAGGAAUACCGGUGGCGAAGGCGGCCCCCUGGACAAAGACUGACGCUCAGGUGCGAAAGCGUGGGGAGCAAACAGGAUUAGAUACCCGCGUAGUCCAUGUCUCUUAUAC
rnacentral:rRNA from 1 species